GGCUUAGGAGCGAUCCCGUCACCUGUAGCAUCAAGAUCAGGAUCCGGUAACCAUGGCAGAACGUGGGGAAAGGGGUUGUUUCUCCGUUUUGGAUGGCCGUUCCCGGACAUGAAGGACCCACCCCUUUCCUUCAAGCUCAGGAGCAUCUUUGUUAUUCCCAUGGUGAGCACCUUCAGCAAGAUCCUGCUAAGUUUGUGCAACAUCAUCAAUGGCCAUAAUGUGGAGUGCUUGCAAGAGAUGGAGAAGAGGCUGAAGGGUACAUCGCUGGUCACGGUCUCCAACCAUUACUCCUGCACUGAUGACCCUGCACUCUGGGUUGUGCUGACCAUCUGAUCAACAGUUCUUCAAAUAGGGGCUGAUGAGGGAAAAUGAUUUUCAUACUUCAUUGGAGAGCAGAAUAAAAACAGGUUGAGAAAGAUGAUUAUAACCCGGUGAUUCUGUUAUCACAAUCAGACCAAGCUGUAAUCAUCUGUCUCACCUGUGUGUCAGCAGACAAACAAAUUCGAGCAAGCAAGUGGGGAUUCCACUUGGUUAAGGAACAGCGCCUGGACGGAGACACCUUAGCCCACCUGCUAGCUGCUAAAUUAUGCUGAUAAACUGUACCUGUUCCAAAUGGGACUAAUUUGCUACAAAACCCACAAAAAUUUCUGCAAUUUGGACCCAUGUUUCUAGUGGGCUAGAAUUAGAGGAUUUAAAUUGAAAAAAAAUAUAUACAACUGAAACAAUUCACUAAAAUGUAGACUAGAAACCCACUCCAUGUAUCUCCUAGCCAUUGCAAUAUGUGCAAGUCAUUGGUAUUUAUGAUUGAAGGUGUCCACAUAGAGCUAUAAAUUAUGAUGAAACCACACUAGUAAGGUGGAUAAAUUCAGUGGCGAUCUAAGGUAGAUCAAAAUGUAGACAACCUGCUGAUCAGGAUUGGUGCCUAUGACCCGGUGACUUGCUUUACACAGCCAAACCAAGGUAUAGGCACCAAACCUCACAGCACAGAAGAUCUUAGUGUUGGCCGGAUUGAGAGAGGCUUUAAUAACUUUGACUGCAUGCUUACAAAUUAAUGUCCUUUAGAAAAAUAAACCAGAUCAUUGAUAAUUAUUUUGUUCUGAUAUAUUGCAUACAUGCAUAAGAAGUUAAUAAUGUUAACAGUACAGAGAAUAAAAUCAAAUGCUCAUUAAUAAAUGCUAUCGACAUCAACAUGUAGGUUAGUGAUCAGAGCAGGCAGAGAGUCCUAGAGUUUGUCAGUAAAAGGUAUGAAAGAUUGAAAAUAAUGGUUAACUGUUACACUAGAGAAGCAGACAAUAGUGGCGAGAGACAAUAAAGUCUUACGCAGCAGAGCAUUGGAAAGGGAGAUAUGCUAUUACCAAGGACAGGAUUGCAGUCAGCCUACAAGUAGCAAUAGAACAUUACAAAAGAUGCAACCUCUAGACAAGUCAGGAUGUGCUCCACUUUAGUAGAAGUUAAAGUCAAAAGAAUUUUUCAUAUUAGAGCUGGGCAAGAGAUUCAACAGAUUAAUUUCAUCUGAGUGACUGAAGCUGAAACCAGAUUGAUAGCAAAUUCAGAAGACUCAAUACUUUGGGCAAAAGGACAAGUUGACUAGUUAGAUAAAACAUCCAGCUUUGAGUACAGAACACAAGAGGGAACAGGAGUUGUAGUCUGUAGUGUCAGACACAUUUCAGUGAGGAAAAGAACAAGAACAAGAAAAGAAGAACAAAAGAAACAAAUAGUAGAUGUUCCAUUAGCUCUAAGGCCACGAUGACAUCUUAUUUUUCAAUUUUGAUGGAAGUAUGUAAUAUGCAUGCAUGUAGUGUGGUGUAAAAAGGUCGAAUUGCCUUUGGAGAGCAUGUUGUGACUAUCCACUUGUGCUGUGUGAUAGUGUUCAUGGAGAUCACAGUUGGUUUGGAGGGAUGUUCACCCAGUAUCCUUGCAUACCAGUGUGUACAAAAUAUCCCUAGGAGUAAUUACAGUUUCAGAAGUCAUCUACUGUCAUUUAAAGAGCUAACUAACACAACGGUGCCUGUAAAUGAGGAAAGCAACAGUGCCUGUAAACAGCCGAGGGAAAUGAAAGGCAUAAAAAGUAAAGCUGAGGAUAUCACACAGUGGCACUUAAGUGGAAGAUAAUGAAUGCCAAAUUAAGUGUGGGAAGUGUGAUUCAGUUUUCAAGGGAAGAAGGUAUGAAGGAUGGCUGUAAGCAGUAGAAUUAUGAGACAAAAUGAUGUCUUGACAGCAAGUGUGGAGACAAAGGAAAGAGUGUACAAGCUGGUAAGGAAGAAUGCAGAGUCGUCAGUUGGGAAAAAAAGUAAAAUGAAUGGAAGAAUGAGAUGAAAUGAAAGAGUACUUUGGAAUAGUAUAAGGUCUUAUUGUAUGAAAGAUUGUAUGAUGCUAGGGGACCCCAUGGAUGUGAAUGUAAGGAAUUACAGAUUGUCAGAUUCCCAUAGCAAAGUGUGCUAGAUUGUGUGAUAUGGGUGAAGAUGAUGGAGCAUGUGAUGUAAGAGGUAUGAGAGAAGAGUGAGAUGAUGCAAGUGAUUCUGACUGAGUUUGGGCAUAACAGGAAUGAAAGUGAAGACGGGAAGGGAAUGGAUGAGAUGGUGGAACAUGCGAACCUGGAGGAAGAAGUACGAGAGAAACAGGAGAAAGAUGAUGCAAAUGAUUCUGACAGGGCAUAAUAGGAAUGAAAGGGGAGAAGACGAGUUGGGGCAUAAUAAGAAUGAAAGUGGAGAAGACGAGUUGGGGCAUAAUAGGAAUGAAAGGGGAGAAGACAAGUUGGGGCAUAAUAGGAAUGAAAGUGGAGAAGACAGGAAGAGAAUGAAUGGUAGUGUUGCUGGAAUUUUGUAAAUGGGGGUAAGAGAGGAAGUAAAGAAGUCCAUGGAAAUUAUGUGGUAUGUCAGAAAUAAAAAUUAGUUGUAUGGUGGCUACUCUUUUCUGUUUUUAAUUCUGCAGAAGUUUUCAUUAUAUAGGCUCAAUGUAGUAGAAAUCCCAAAUCACCUAUAAUACCAAGACCAGGAAUUGGCAAGAGAUAUACUAAUAAAGGAUGUGCAAAUCCUAGCCAAGAGAUAUACUAAUAAAGGAUGUGCAAAUCCUAAUCAGAUGCAAUAUGUUAUCCAUUACAGCUAACAACCGCAGUUUUUCCCAUAUAAGGGUCUCUGUAUCCUACAACUCUUGUGAGAGAGAGAGAGAGAGAGAGAGAGAGAGAGAGAGAGAGAGAGAGAGAGAGAGAGAGAGAGAGAGAGAGAGAGAGAGAGAGAGAGAGAU